rnacentral:rRNA from 1 species
AGAGUUUGAUCCUGGCUCAGAACGAACGGUGGUGGCAGGCAUAACACAUGCAAGUCGAGCGCUACCUUCGGGUGGAGCGGCGGACGGGUUAGUAACGCGUGGGAAUAUGCCCUUCUUUACGGAAUAGCCUCGGGAAACUGAGAGUAAUACCGUAUACGCCCUUCGGGGGAAAGAUUUAUCGGAGAAGGAUUAGCCCGGGUAAGAUUAGAUAGCCGGUGGGGUAAUGGCCUACCAAGUAUACGAUCCUUAGCCGGUUUUAGAGUGUGAUCAGCAACACUGGGACUGAGACACGGCCCUGACUCGUACGGGAAGCAGCAGUGGGGAAUUUUAGACAAUGGGCGAAAGCAUGAUAAAGCCAUGCCGCGUGAGUGAUGAAGGCCUUAGGGUCGUAAAGCUUUUUCGCCAGGGAUGAUAAUGACAGUACCUGGUAAAGAAGCCCCGGCUAACUCUGUGCCAGCAGCCGCGGUUAUA